rnacentral:rRNA from 1 species
GGACUCGCACAAGCGGUGGAGCAUGUGGUUUAAUUCGACGCAACGCGAAAAACCUUACCAGGUCUUGACAUCCCUCUGACGGCGCUAGAGAUAGCGCGUCCCUUCGGGGCAGAGGAGACAGGUGGUGCAUGGUUGUCGUCAGCUCGUGUCGUGAGAUGUUGGGUUAAGUCCCGCAACGAGCGCAACCCUUAUCAUUAGUUGCUAACAUUAAGUUGAGAACUCUAAUGAGACUGCCAGUGAUAAACUGGAGGAAGGUGGGGAUGACGUCAAAUCAUCAUGCCCCUUAUGACCUGGGCUACACACGUGCUACAAUGGUUGGUACAAAGAGGAGCGAAGCUGUGAAGUGAAGCAAAUCUCAAAAAACCAAUCUCAGUUCGGAUUGUAGUCUGCAACUCGACUACAUGAAGUUGGAAUCGCUAGUAAUCGUGAAUCAGAAUGUCACGGUGAAUACGUUCUCGAGUCUU